UGAGUCUCCCAUUACUUGGGUGAAGAUCUCCACAUGCACUGCCUUAUCCCUUUGUGUUUCCUCAGGUUUCUUAUUGAGGAGGUUUAACAUCUAUGUCUGCAAGUCGUAUUAAAGAUAGUGAGUGAGUGAACAUGCGAGAGAGAAA